ACCCUCUCUACUAAAAACACAAAAGUUAGCCGGGUGUGGUGGUGCGUGCCUAUAAUUCCAGCUACUCGGGAGGCUGAGAAAGGAGAAUUGCUUGAACUCGGGAGGUGGAGGUUGCAGUGAGCUGAACAGUCGCCAUUGCAUUCCAGCCUGGGUGAUAAGAACGAAACUCCGUCUCAAAAAAAGAAAAAAAAAAAAAAGAAAGAAAGAAAAAAGGAAAGACUUAAGUAAGUUAUUUAGGUCCUGCCCUGGUAUAUCGGCAGAGCAGGACUCUAACCUAGGUGUGUCAUAUGCAAAGCCCAAAACUUCACCCAUUGAGCCUCUGGGUACCCCAGGGCACAGAGAACCUGAACAGUGGCUCCUUCCAGAAAGAAGUCUGAGUCUCCUGGGGCAGCCUAUACCCCCAGCCCUCCACCAUGCACCCUGCCAUUGCUUCCAUUGCAUUGUUUGCCAGAUAAUGUCUCCAGUUUGGCCACUGGCCUCCAAUGAUUAUUUACUGAGUGCCUACCAAUGUGCCAGGCACGAUUCUAGGCACUUGGCAUAUAUCAGUGAAGCAAACAUGCUUCAGUCUCACAUUUUCAACUACCAAAGGUUUACUUUGUUAGGUUGUUUCAUCACCACCUUGACUACAGCAUGUUUAAAAUGGAACUAAGCAUCUGAGCAUUUCUUCCCUAAAAUGGGCAGCAUGAAGAAGGGUGGGGGAUUUAGAGGCCAAUGGCCACACUCUGAACCCUGGUUUUGUCAUUGACUGGUUGUGUGUAAGGCUGAAGUCAAAUGAACUUCUCUGAGCCUCAGUUUUCUCAUGUGUAAAACAGGAAUAACAGGUAGAAUAGCUAAUGAAUCUAGUUCCACUCCACUUCUGCCCAGCUGGGUUUCUCCUGAUGAUAUCAUUUGCUAAAAAAUCAUAUAAGCUCUUUGUGCCUCAGUUUCUCUAAUCACUGAAAUAGAAACGAUAGUAACUCACCUUCAUAGGGUUGUUGUGAGAGUUAAAUGAAUCAAUAUAUGUGAAAUGGCACAAAGCAAAUGGUUAGCAAGUGUGAGCUAUUAUUAUUAACUCACAGGGCCAAGCAUAGUGGCUCAUGCCUGUAAUCCCAGCACUUUGGGAGGCUGAGGCAGGAAGAUUGCUUGAAGCCAAGAGUUUGAGACCUGCCUGGGCAAUAAAGGCGGACCCUGUCUCUCUCUCUCUCUUUUUUUUUUUUUUUUUGAGAUGGAGUCUCGCUCUGUUGCCCAGGCUGGAGUGCAGUGGCGCGAUCUUGGCUCACUGCAACCUCCACCUUGCAGGUCAAAGCAAUUCUCUGCCUCAGCCUCCUGGGUAGCUGGGAUUACAGGUGCCCGCAACCAUGCCUGGCUAAUUUUUUGUAUUGUUAGUAGAGACAGGGUUUCACUAUGUUGGCCAGGCUGGUCUUGAACUCCUGACCUCAUGAUCCACCCACCUUGGCCUCCCAAAGUGCUGGGAUUACAGGCGUGAGCCACCGCGCCUGGCCACCUCAGUUUCUUUAUCUGUAAAAUAGAGAUGGGUCAAGUCAUACCUUCAUAGGAUUGUGGUGAGGGCUGAAUGAGAUGCUUCCACAGCCCUGAGCACAGUGCUAGCCUCCCAGGAGCCACUGACAUUGCUCCUGACCAACUGUUCAUGCCAUGACCCUCCAGGAUGCAGAACCCCCAGCAGCAGCUCUUUCCAAAGCUGGUGAUACUACUCCAAACCAAACCCCUAAUCCUGUCCCACAGGCCCCAGAGUCCCAGCUUUUGGCUCCCCACUCACUGCUUCCUUGCUGACUUGGACAUAGGCUUUGGAGCCAGAAACACAUGUAGGUAUAAAUCUCACUCCAAUCACUUACUGGCUGAGUGAGGUGGGUCAAAUCACUCAACUUCUCUGUGCCAUCAUCUGCUAAAUAAAUAAAAUGGAAGGCCAAGCAUAGUGGCUCAUGCCUGUAAUCCCAGCACGUUGGGAGGCUGAAGCAGGAGGAUUGCUUGAGGCCAGGAGUUUGAGAUCAGCCUGGGUAACAUAGUGUGAGACCCCAUCUCUAUAAAAAUAAUAAUUUUUAAAAAUUAGCUGGAUGUGGGCUGGGCGUGGUGGCUUACACCUGUAAUCCCAACAUUUUGGGAGGCCAAGGCAGGUGGAUCACCUGUCUGAGGUCAGGAGUUCGAGACCAGCCUUAAACAUGGUGAAACCCCAUUUCUACUAAAAAUACAAAAAUUAGCCAGGUGUGGUGGUGUGCACCUGUAAUCCCAGCUACUCGGGAGGCUGAGGCAAGAGAAUCACUUGAACCCGGGAGGCAGAGGUUGCAGUGAGCUGAGAUCACGCCACUGCACUCCAGCCUGGGUGCCAAGAGCAAAACUCUGUCCCCCCCUCCCCCCAAAAAAUUAGCUGUAUGUGGCAUGAACCUGCAAUUCUAGCUACACGGGAGACUGAGGCAGGAAGUCAAGGUGGUAAUGAAACAACCUAACAAGAGAGAUAACUACUACAGUUGAAGGGAAAGUUGAAGGGAAAGUUUAGGAGUUCAAGGUUGCAGUGAGGUAUGACUGUGCCACUGCAUUCCAGCCUGGGUGACAGAGCGAGGCUGUGUCUCUAAAAAAUAUUUAAAAGUUAAAAUAAAUAGGCUGGACAUGAUGGCUCACGCCUGUAAUCCCUGCACUUUGGGAGGCCGAGGCAGGCGGAUCACCUGAGGUCAGGAGUUCAAGACCAGCCUGGCCAACACACUGAAACCCCAUCUCUACUAAAAAUACAAAAAUUAGCCGGGCAUGGUGGCGCAUGCCUGUAAUCCCAGCUACUCGGGAGGCUGAGGCAGGAAGAAUCGCUUGAACCCAGGAGGUGGAAGUUGAAGUGAUCCGAAAUCGCGCCACUGCACUCCAGCCUGGGUGACAGAGCAAGGCUGUCUCAAAAAAAUAAAAUAAAAUGGAACAUCAUUGAGUCCAUCUCAGGGGGCUGCUGGAAGGAUUAGGUGAGAAUUCACCAAGUGGCUUUAGCAAAGUGGCUAACGCUUGACAAGGGCUUAACAAAUAUCAGCCAUUAUUAUGACUUUUGUUUCCACAAAACAUUGCAUUCCAAACAAACAAUGGAGUUAUGAAGAAAACUUCAGAACACAGCCCAUCUGUGAAUGAAGGACAGCCACAGACCCUCUCCAGCACUGACAGAAGUUACUGGAAUCCUCAGUGGAAUCCCACAGGUCUUCCUCAGGGGAGAGGGGAACCCAAGCCUCUCCCCAGGACAGGGAGGGAACUGCUAAGCAUGUUCUGGUCUCCAGCAGCCAGGCUUCUUUCUCUCCAGCACUCUGCAGAAGAGCAAAUGAAGCUCUGUACCCCGGCUUCCUGAGGCUGCCAGGAGCCAGGGGAGGCAGAGCGCUGUGUCAUGCUGGAGCAAGAGUCCACCUGGUGCUAAAUCAAAGUCGCCAGAGUUGGGACAAAGGAGGCUCUGCAGGGGCUGCACCCUUCAUGGGGGAAGACAAGCAGCUCUCCCAUUGCUGAUUCUCAGACCGGACAGUGCUGACCCAUCACCGCCCCAAACUCAGCCUCAGAAUCCUCCUCAACCUGCUCCUCCUGGCAGCCACUACCGAUGGCAGCUUGUUAGCACCUGGAGCAAGUCCACUCUCCAUUCCUGACCAAAAGACUCAAGUCUCUUCAGUUUCAAUAGAGAAAAGUGACUUACAAAGUGUGCUGACAUUCCUAGUCUCACUCAAUCACAGAGACUGCUCUGGGCUAGGCAAGGGGAUCCGUGCCUGUGAGUUACAGAUGGGAAAGCAAGUUCACUCCAAUAAUAGAAGGUGGGGCUGAAACUAGGACCCUUGUCUUCCAGGGCACUCAUUUGUUCACUCUUUCACACAUGAGCACCUACUAUGUGCAAGUUACUGUACAAGGCCUGGGGGUGGCAGGGAAGGUAAGGGGCAAAUUCAUAGAAAUGAGUCAAAGAUAUUGGUUUUGUUCACCCUGUGCCUGCCUGACAUACUGUGGAUGUUCAAAAAAUAUUUGUUGUAGAAAAGAAGAAAGAAGGGAGUGAUGGUAAGUGAUGCUAUCCCUGCCCUCAGGGAAUCUAAGAUCUACUCCAGGGCUGUUUCUGCUAUGCCAGGCUCUUCCCAAGUAAAAAGGUGCCCUUAUGCCAGCAAGGCCCUCCUGCUGCCUUCCAGGCAGAAACCAAAGCUCUGAGGAUGUGAAAAUGAGACGAAAAGCAAGGCUACUCGUCACUG
rnacentral:lncRNA from 10 species